AAUCACCCAGUAAUGUAUAAAAUAUCUCUUUCUCUUUCACUUAGAAACACACACACACACACUUAGAAUUUGGACUCAUUGGUCAUAUAUUGCACAACUCCGCCCAUCCCACAAGCCGCAUGACAAACCUGUGUGUCAAGAUUAUAACUUUUCAGAGUUAAGAUCAGAGAGGACACAUUUGCUGAGAACCAAGAGUUGGGCUACAAGACAUUGCAGACUACCAGGAGUUGAAAUGGGUCUUCCAGACGGGCUGUUAGAGUUCUUGGGGCCAGUAGGGUGGGGGGCAGCAGCGCUGGUAGGGGUGGUUAUAUUGAUUCAAGUGGUUAAAAAGAACAGAGAGGAGAAACGUUCUAUUUCUCCAGGAACUCACAAGUGUUUUGGUGACGAGAGAACACGGUUGAAGGAGGAAAAGUCGAAUGAAGCUUCUGGAAGAACUGGAAACUCUAGGAAGAAGAGAGUAGAACCGUGCCGUCAUGCCGAACAUGAGGAUGACAUAAUGAAAGGUUACGGCCUUGGACAUGUUCACAAAUAUAAAGAUGACAAGAAAUUUCGACCAUCUUGGUGUGAUAAGGAGAAUGAAGGCAUUACAGAGGCAGACCAUAUUCCACCUAAAGAUUCUCUGAAGAAGGCCCUAAACAAUGUACGACUGGAUCGUCUCCUACAAGUGAAUCCAAGGCUUCAUGAGAUGAUCAUGAGCCUUGAUUAUGACCCAACUGGACAGAACCUGUUAACCAUGAGGGUUCUUUACCAGGAUCACAGAGAUGCUCUGACCACUGGUAGCAGCAAAGAAUCUAAAAUAUGCAGGUGGAUUUUGACACAAACAAUGCUAAGCGGAAAAGAUGAUUGUGCAGUAAAAAUGCUGGAGCAAGCUUUUAUCAUGGGUCAUCCUAUAGCUUCCCAGAUGCUCAGACAUGAUGCUGGAUUUGUUGACGCCGCACUACGUACCGAGGGUAAAGUUGACAUGUCUGAUGAAGGCACAAGGAGCUACUACAGAUAUGGCUACACUGACCUGGUCAAUGAAUAUCUCUACAAGGGGAUAAUCAACGAUGGUCAAGCAAAAGACCUCAAAAUAUGGGUGAAAAGAGAGAUGCACCUGGACCGGGAUACCGCAGAGUAUAAGGAGAUCCUUGAAGACAUUAAUGAUUUCUAUGACUGUUUUCAUAUGUUGUAGGCUUACUCUUACAGCAGUAUCCAAGGGGAAAGAAUCAAAAAUGUUGCAAUCUCUAUUGCACUCCACACUGCCCUUUCCCACCUGGACGAAAGGAACAUCUAUGUGAGAAUGCUGUUCAUUGACUACAGCUCAGCGUUCAACACCAUAGUACCCUCAAAGCUCAUCACCAAGCUAAGGAUCCUGGAACUAAACACCUCCCUCUGCAACUGGAUCCUGGACAUCCUGACUGGCCGCCCCCAGGUGGUGAGGGUAGGUAGCAACACAUCUGCCACGCUGAUCCUCAACACUGGAGCUCCCCAGGGGUAAGUGCUCAGUCCCCUCCUGUACUCCCUGUUCACCCACGACUGCAUGGCCAGGCACGACUCCAACACCAUCAUUAAGUUUGCUGACGACACAACAGUGGUAGGCCUGAUCACCGACAACGACGAGACAGCCUAUAGAGAGGAGGUCAGAGACCUGGCCGGGUGGUGCCAGAAUAACAACCUAUCCUUCAACGUAACCAAGACUAAGGAGAUGAUUGUGGACUACAGGAAAAGGAGCACCGAGCACGCCCCUAUUCUCAUCGACGGGGCUGUAGUGGAGCAGGUUGAGAGCUUCAAGUUCUUGGGUGUCCACAUCAACAACCAACUAGAUUGGACCAAACAAGCCAUAAGACUCCUGAACAACCAAAUGGUUACCUGGACUAUUUGCAUUGUCUGAGUUACAGUUCAUAUGAGGAAAUCAGUCAAUUUAAAUGCAUUCAUUAGGCCCUAAUCUAUGGAUUUUAAAUGACUGCGAAUACAGAUUUGUAUCUGUUGGUCAAAGAUACCUUUAAAAAAUGGGCCUCAAAAUAGGCCUUAUUUCUGUGCAUUCAAAUUGCCAUUGAUAAAAUGCAAUUGUGUUCAUUGUCCGUAGCUUAUGCCUGCCAUACCAUAACCCCACUGCCACCAUGGGGCACUCUGUUCACAAUGUUGCCAUCAGCAAACCGCUCGCCCACAUGACACCAUACACGUGGUCUGCGGUUGUGAGGUCAGUUGGACGUAGUGCCCAAUCCUCUAAAACCACGUUGACGGCGGCUUGUGGUAGUCGCCUUCUGUACUCCCUGUUCACACCCGACUCCAACACCAUCAUUAAGUUUGCACAACAGUGGUAGGUCUGAUCACCGACAAUGAUGAGACAGCCUAUAGGCCAGGACAACAAACUUUCCCUCACUGUGAGCAAGACAGAGGAGAUGAUUGUGGACGACAGGAAAAGGAGGGCCGAACAUGCCACCAUUCACAUCGAAUGGGCUGUAGUGGAGCAGGUCGAGAGUUUCAUGUUCCUUGUUGUCCACAUCACCAACAAACUAACAUGGUCCAAACACAUCAACACAGUCCUGAAGAGGGCACAACAAAACCUUUCCCCCUCAAAAAAGAUUUGUCAUGGGUCCCAGAUCCUCAAAAAGUUCUACAGCUACACCAUCGAGAGCAUCCUGACCGGUUCUAUCACAUCCUGGUAUGGCAACUGCUCGGCCUCCCACCAUAAGGCGCUACAGGGGGUAGUGCGUACGCCCAGUACAUCACUGGGACCAAGCUUCCUGCCAUCCAAGACCUAUAUGCUAGGCAGUGUCUGAGGAAGGCCCAAAAAAUUGUCAAAGACUCCAGUCACCCAAGUCAUAGACUGUUCUCUCUGCUACUGCACGGCAAGCGGUUCCGGAGCUCCAAGUCUAGGUCCAAAAGGCUCCUUAAUUAACAGCUUCUAUCCCCAAGCCACAAGACUGCUGAACAAUUAAUUAAAUGGUCACCCUGACUAUUUGCAUUGACUCCCCCCUUUUGUUUUUACACUGCUGCUACUCACUGUUUAUUAUCUAUGCAUAGUCACUUUACCCCUACCUACAUGUACAAAUUACCUCGACUAACCUGUACCCCUGCACAUUGACUUGGUACCGGUACCCCCUGUAUAUAGCCUCGUUAUUGUUAUUUUAUUGUUACUUUUAUUACAUUUUUUCCUUUAGUUUAUUUAGUAAAUAUUUUCUUAACUCUAUUUCUUGAACUGCAUUGUUGGUGAAGGGCUUGUAAGUUAGCAUUUCACGGUAAGAUCUACACCUGUUGUAUUCGGUGCAUGUGACAAAUAACAUUUGAUUUGAUGGUAAAAGAAAUUAACAUUAAAUUAUCUGGCAAAGCUCUGGUGGACAUUCCUGCACUCAGCAUGGCAAUUGCACGCUCCCUCAAAACAAAAAAUUAAAUUUUAGAGUGGCCUUUUAUUGUUCACAGCACAAGGUGCACCUGUGUAAUGAUGUUUAAUCAAAGUAAUGAUGUUUAAUCAGCUUCUACAUAUGUCACACCUGUCAGGUGGAUGGAUUAUCUUGGCAAAGGAGAAAUGCUCACUAAUAGGGUUGUAAAAAAAUAUGUGCUCAACAUUUGAGAGAAAUAACCUUGUGUGUGUGGAACACUUCUGGGAUCUUUUAUUUCAGCUCAUGAAACAUGGGACCAACACUUAACAUGUUGCGUUCACAUUACAGUGUACAUUUACAGAACUUCUGAUCAUUUUCUUGCCUUAGUACCCGUUCAUGGACUAUUAACACAUUGUUUUCAUCAGAAGAGAAAUGUGUGAAAUUUCCCGGCAAUCAGUAAAUACUACUGGGCAAAAUUCUAAAUCAUCCCAUCAGUGUGAUACUAUGUAAAAUAUAUGGGAAGAUCUAGACAAUGGGGACUGUCUAAUUGUUAUGAUUUAGAUUUUUUUUUUGCAGUAUUGCGGAUAUGCAGAGACGCAAACAAUUAAGUUGGGUUCCUUUUCAUCUCCCACAUUGUGACCUUCCAGUAUAGAGCUUUGCUUUGGUGUGGAUUUAGACUUAUAGGUUCAUAUCAGUAGUGUUUCUCCAUUGUAUUCACUUUUCCAUGUUCUAUUGUGAAUUGUGUUUCUGUGUAGCUAUGGAAAGUUUUUUUUAAACUAUCAGCGAACCAACUUUUGAAUUGAAUACAUGGAAUUGGAUUGUGAUGAUACCGAUGAAUGAGUCCUGCACACAAUGUGCUUAUUUUUUUCAAUGUUUUUACCAGGAAUUAUAUUUGAUUUCCUGUGUAUGAAAUUGUUUGGUGAAAUAUUUGCCCAUCAUUCCACACCUUUAGAUAGUUGUGCUUCCAAUUUUAAUCAUCAGGAUUUAGUGACCAAAAAAUAGAAAUAGAAAUAAAAUGUGUUGAUCUACUGGGAUUUUUAAAAUACUUUAACUUCCUGUUUUGUCUGCUUGGACUCGAGAGAUAAGUAUGGUUGUGUUAAUGUUCUUGCAGGCAGUCAUGUUCUUUUGAUGAAUUUACUUAUGUUUUGAGAAGGCAACUUCACCUUGAAAAUGGAUUUACUGUUUUGCAAAAGCCCACAAAGUUCUGUUUCUUGUGGAUUCUUGUUAUGAAAAAAAAUGCUUGUACGGGAUUGAGAUAGACUGUAAUAAAAUAUGAACUGUAGUACUCUAGUAAUCUAAAUAUUUCAAUAAGUAAGUGGAUGGAAAAAGCUUUCUGACCGCGACUGGACAGAAUAUAGUGGUCAGGAGGACAGGCAGGCUAGCUCUUACCAGCUCUGCAUACUGUAACUAUCCCAAACCUUCCACCUUCCAUGAAGAGUGCAGUUACAUGUUUUCACCUGUUGACGGUGCUGCCCACUUUGAUAGAGUGGGCAGCACCACCAUAGAGUAGUACAGUACAGUAUAGUACCAACACUAGUAUGGUAGAGUAUUACAGUAUAGUAUAGUACCAACACCAGCAUGGUAGAGUAGUACAGUACAGUAACAACACCAGCAUGGUAGAGUAGUACAGUAUAGUAUAGCACCCACAGCAGCAUGGUAGAGUAGUACAGUAUAGUAUAGCACCAACAACAGCAUGGUAGAGUAGUACAGUAUAGUAUAGUACCAACACCAGCAUGGUAGAGUAGUACAGUACAGGACCAACACCAGCAUGGUAGAGUAGUACAGUACAGUAUAGUACCAACAACAGCAUGGUAGAGUAGUACAGUACAGUAUAGUACCAACACCAGCAUGGUAGAGUAGUACAGUAUAGUACAGUACCAACAACAGCAUGGUAGAGUAGUACAGUACAGGACCAA
ensembl:lncRNA